AUGUGUCAAAAACCCCAUUAGGUAUCUGUUUUCUUUUCCGGGAACAAACAAACAGUUUUGUGUCACCGACGAAAAGAAACAGACUUAUUUUUCGAUCAAAACAAAGCUAAGAUCCAGACCACAUGUUCUUAUGUUUCUGGAUCAAAACUAAGAAUAUGUAUGCAGAUCAACGGGAGCACGGGUCAAGCUAAGAAGCUUACUAUAGAAGAUCUGUUUAUGAGAACUCAUGCCCUAACACAACGGCUUUGGAGGAGAAGACGAACAGAGAACAUCGAAGAGGAUUUGAGAUAGUCGAAGUCUACAUGGAAACUUCUCCAGAAAGUGCUGCAAACAUAGAAGCAGUUUAUUGGAGCUGUAGUGGAGUUGAUAGAUCGAGAAUAAUUAUCAGAGGAGUUUGAUGAGGUUGCUUUUACAGAGCAUCGUGUCUUUGGCAAGCCAGUGGAGGAGGAAGACAAUUAUUUUUAUGGGAAGAGCACUGUUGAAAAGAAGUAAGUACGGCUGGUUUUUAAUAUGUGUAUUUACUUAUUUAUCAGAGUUUCAGAGAUUACUCCAUGAAAAUGGACAACAAAUUUGUACUUUUCUAGUAUGUUGAGCGGUUGUUGUUUUUUUGUUUAUAAUGAGAACAUGUGGGCGAACCAACAACCACAAGCUGAGCAGAAAGAAGUUACUCUCCCACUCUGAGCAAGAGAAAGUAAACAACAACUCAGGAUGGAAUCUAUGUUACAUGCAACCAUUGUCAUCAUUGGGAGAUCGGAGCAUGUCACAUAUUCCAUAAUCAAACUUGUAGUUGGCAGUCUACGUACCAUAAUUUCUCCACAUAAAUCAGUGCAGUGUAGGACUUUCGGCAUUUCUGACUGCGGCCGUGCGCUGCAACGUGCGGGGUCAACACACUGUGUUAUUGAUACGGUUUAUGAGGUGUUGAGAAAAAAUUUUACGAGG